rfam:Mycobacterium xenopi RIVM700367 contig39, whole genome shotgun sequence.
UGGUUUGCCGGCAAUGUCGGCAUCGAGCGAGGCAGCUUGAUUCUGCCUCGCGAGAGGGAACCCGGUGAGAAUCCGGGACUGUCCCGCAGCGGUAUGCAGGAACGACCGCCGUCAUCAGCACUGGUCGCCCGACUGGGAAGCGACGGCCAUUAGGAGCACCGCCGGUGCGCGCCUGCGAGUCCGAAAACCUGCCGGUUGUGCCGGAUGCGC